AAAUGGUUUUUAUGUACUUCACUUCAAUGAAAAUGGCAAGGUUAUGUUCGAAAUUAUGGCAUCACUGUUUUAAAUUCGAAUAGGCACUAUUGAUUCAUGCACUGAUCGUUUUGGAAUUAUCAAUAUUCUCAAUAUUCGGGUCUGAAAAAGAAUUGAAAGAAGAAGAAGUUGGACACAGAAGAAUUAUGAACACCGGGGUUUUGGACCGAGCAGGGAUAUUUUUCUCGAGCGCUCGUCUUAAAAGAGAAUUGAAAGAAGCGCCCGAUACGAGUAUAUUCGUAAAUUGGAAUUAAAAACACGAAUUUUAAGACAGUUACCGUGAAAAUUGGUGCACGUUUUCGGAAAAGCCGCUCUCCUGAA